AGAAUGCAGUCGACGCGAAGUCCCCUUCGGGGGACGAGUAGAGUGGCGCACGGGUGAGUAACACGUAGGUAAUCUACCUUUGGAUGGGGAAUAACAACCGGAAACGGUUGCUAACACCGCAUAAUGCAGCGGUACCUAAUGGUGACAGUUGUUAAAGCGGGGGAUCGAAAGACCUCGCGUCUGAAGAGGAGCCUGCGGCGGAUUAGCUAGUUGGUAAGGUAACGGCUUACCAAGGCGACGAUCCGUAGCCGGCCUGAGAGGGCGGUCGGCCACACUGACACUGACAUACGGGUCAGACUCCUACGGGAGGCAGCAGUCGGGAAUUUUGGGCAAUGGGCGAAAGCCUGACCCAGCAACGCCGCGUGAAGGAUGAAAUCCCUCGGGAUGUAAACUUCGCAAGAACGGGAAGAAUAAGUAGGGGACAAUACCCCCUAUGAUGACGGUACCGUUUGUAAGCUCCGGCUAACUCCGUGCCAGCAGCCGCGGUAAUACGGGGGGAGCAAGCGUUGUUCGGAUUUACUGGGCGUAAAGGGCGCGUAGGCGGCCAGUGCAAGUCAGUUGUGAAAUCUCCGAGCUUAACUCGGAAAGGUCAACUGAUACUGCUCGGCUAGAGUGCGGAAUGGGCAACUGGAAUUCUUGGUGUAGCGGUGAAAUGCGUAGAUAUCAAGAGGAACACCUGCGGCGAAUGCGGGUUGCUGGGCCGACACUGACGCUGAGCGCGAAAGCUAGGGGAGCGAACGGGAUUAGAUACCCCGGGUAGUCUAGCUUUAACGAUGAAUGCUUGGUGUCUGGGGUAUAUAGUCCCGGGUGCGUCGCUACGCUUAAG
rnacentral:rRNA from 1 species